GACGAACGCUGGCGGCGUGCCUAAUACAUGCAAGUAGAACGCUGAAGGAGGAGCUUGCUUCUCUGGAUGAGUUGCGAACGGGUGAGUAACGCGUAGGUAACCUGCCUGGUAGCGGGGGAUAACUAUUGGAAACGAUAGCUAAUACCGCAUAAGAGUAGAUGUCGCAUGACAUUUGCUUAAAAGGUGCAAUUGCAUCACUACCAGAUGGACCUGCGUUGUAUUAGCUAGUUGGUGAGGUAACGGCUCACCAAGGCAACGAUACAUAGCCGACCUGAGAGGGGGAUCGGCCGCACUGGGACUGAGACACGGCCCAGACUCCUACGGGAGGCAGCAGUAGGGAUUCUUCGGCAAUGGACGGGAGACUGACCGAGCAACGCCGCGUGAGUGAAGAAGGUUUUCGGAUCGUAAAGCUCUGUUGUAAGAGAAGAACGGGUGUGAGAGUGGAAAGUUCACACUGUGACGGUAUCUUACCAGAAAGGGACGGCUAACUACGUG
rnacentral:rRNA from 1 species